UUGCGGCCAAUUAAUCCAACAUUGCUCUUUUCCCCAAGGGGGCCCAGUGUGCAAUGGCUGCAAAAAGAAGAUUCCUUGGUGGUGCAUGAAGCCUGUUGCCUGUAUAGGUUACCCUAAGGGACCUCGGAGACAGCC
ensembl:snoRNA SNORA70 Small nucleolar RNA SNORA70